GACGAACGCUGGCGGCGUGCUUAACACAUGCAAGUCGAACGCUGAAGCACCAGCUUGCUGGUGUGGAUGAGUGGCGAACGGGUGAGUAAUACGUGAGUAACCUGCCCUUGACUCUGGGAUAAGCCCGGGAAACUGGGUCUAAUACUGGAUGCUACAUGUCACCGCAUGGUGGUGUGUGGAAAGGGUUUACUGGUCUUGGAUGGGCUCACGGCCUAUCAGCUUGUUGGUGAGGUAAUGGCUCACCAAGGCGACGACGGGUAGCCGGCCUGAGAGGGUGACCGGCCACACUGGGACUGAGACACGGCCCAGACGCCUACGGGAGGCAGCAGUGGGGAAUAUUGCACAAUGGGCGAAAGCCUGAUGCAGCGACGCCGCGGGAGGGAGGACGGCCUUCGGGUUGUAAACCUCUUUCAGCAGGGAAGAAGCCACAAGUGACGGUACCUGCAGAAGAAGCGCCGGCUAACUACGUG
rnacentral:rRNA from 1 species